AGUGAACGCUGGCGGCAGGCCUAACACAUGCAAGUCGAACGGCAGCACGGCAGUAGCAAUACUGUGGGUGGCGAGUGGCGGACGGGUGAGGAAUACAUCGGGAUCUACCCUGUUGUGGGGGAUAACGUAGGGAAACUUACGCUAAUACCGCAUAAGAACUGAGGUUGAAAGCGGCGGACCGCAAGGCGUCGCGCGAUUGGAUGAACCGAUGUCCGAUUAGCUAGUUGGCGGGGUAAAGGCCCACCAAGGCGACGAUCGGUAGCUGGUCUGAGAGGACGACCAGCCACACUGGAACUGAGACACGGUCCAGACUCCUACGGGAGGCAGCAGUGGGGAAUACUGGACAAUGGGCGCAAGCCUGAUCCAGCCAUGCCGCGUGGGUGAAGAAGGCCUCGGUUGUAAGACC
rnacentral:rRNA from 1 species